UACGUAGGGCGCAAGCGUUAUCCGGAAUUAUUGGGCGUAAAGAGCUCGUAGGCGGUUUGUCGCGUCUGCCGUGAAAGUCCGGGGCUCAACUCCGGAUCUGCGGUGGGUACGGGCAGACUAGAGUGAUGUAGGGGAGACUGGAAUUCCUGGUGUAGCGGUGAAAUGCGCAGAUAUCAGGAGGAACACCGAUGGCGAAGGCAGCUCUCUGGGACGGUACUGACGCUGAGACGCGAAAGCGUGGGGAGCAAACAGG
rnacentral:rRNA from 1 species